GCCGAGGUGGUGAAACUGGUAGACACGCUGGAUUCAAAAUCCAGUGGGGGUGACCCCGUGCCGGUUCGAUUCCGGCUCUCGGCA
rnacentral:tRNA from 2 species